rnacentral:rRNA from 1 species
AUUGAACGCUGGCUGCAGGCUUAACACAUGCAAGUCGAACGAGUGGCGGACGGGUUAGUAAUGUCUGGGAAACUGCCUGGUGGAGGGGGAUAACUACGGGGAACGGUAGCUAAUACCGCAUACCAUCAGAUCUGCCCAGAUUGGAUUAGCUAGUAGGGGGGGUAACGUCUCACCUAGGGGACGAUCCCUAGCUGGUCUGAGAGGAUGACCAGCCACACUGUGACUGAGACACGGCCCAGACUCCUACGGGAGGCAGCAGUGGGGAAUAUUGCACAAUGGGCGAAAGCCUGAUGUAGCCAUGCCGCGUGGGUGAAGAAGGUUUUCGGGUUGUAAAGCACUUUUGGUGGGGAGGCGUUAUCUGAAGAAGAAGCACCGGCUAACUCCGUGCCAGCAGCCGCGGUAAUUC